GACGAACGCUGGCGGCGUGCUUAACACAUGCAAGUCGAACGGAAAGGCCCUGCUUUUGUGGGGUGCUCGAGUGGCGAACGGGUGAGUAACACGUGAGUAACCUGCCCUUGACUUUGGGAUAACUUCAGGAAACUGGGGCUAAUACCGGAUAGGAGCUCCUGCUGCGUGGUGGGGGUUGGAAAGUUUCGGCGGUUGGGAUGGACUCGCGGCUUAUCAGCUUGUUGGUGGGGUAGUGGCUUACCAAGGCUUUGACGGGUAGCCGGCCUGAGAGGGUGACCGGCCACAUUGGGACUGAGAUACGGCCCAGACUCCUACGGGAGGCAGCAGUGGGGAAUAUUGCACAAUGGGCGGAAGCCUGAUGCAGCAACGCCGCGUGCGGGAUGACGGCCUUCGGGUUGUAAACCGCUUUCGCCUGUGACGAAGCGUGAGUGACGGUAAUGGGUAAAGAAGCACCGGCUAACUACGUG
rnacentral:rRNA from 1 species